GACGAACGCUGGCGGCGUGCUUAACACAUGCAAGUCGAACGGAAAGGCCCUGCUUUUGUGGGGUGCUCGAGUGGCGAACGGGUGAGUAACACGUGAGUAACCUGCCCUUGACUUUGGGAUAACUUCAGGAAACUGGGGCUAAUACCGGAUAGGAGCUCCUGCUGCAUGGUGGGGGUUGGAAAGUUUCGGCGGUUGGGGAUGGACUCGCGGCUUAUCAGCUUGUUGGUGGGGUAGUGGCUUACCAAGGCUUUGACGGGUAGCCGGCCUGAGAGGAUGACCGGCCACAUUGGGACUGAGCUACGGCCCAGACUCCUACGGGAGGCAGCAGUGGGGAAUAUUGCACAAUGGGCGGAAGCCGGAUGCAGCAACGCCGCGUGCGGGAUGACGGCCUUCGGGUUGUAAACCGCUUUCGCCUGUGACGAAGCGUGAGUGACGGUAAUGGGUAAAGAAGCACCGGCUAACUACGUG
rnacentral:rRNA from 1 species